CGUUAGCGGCGGACGGGUGAGUAACACGUGGGUAACCUACCUAUAAGACUGGGAUAACUUCGGGAAACCGGAGCUAAUACCGGAUAAUAUUUCGAACCGCAUGGUUCGAUAGUGAAAGAUGGUUUUGCUAUCACUUAUAGAUGGACCCGCGCCGUAUUAGCUAGUUGGUAAGGUAACGGCUUACCAAGGCGACGAUACGUAGCCGACCUGAGAGGGUGAUCGGCCACACUGGAGCUGAGACACGGUCCAGACUCCUACGGGAGGCAGCAGGC
rnacentral:rRNA from 1 species